GACGAACGCUGGCGGCGUGCCUAAUACAUGCAAGUUGAGCGCUGAAGGUUGGUACUUGUACCGACUGGAUGAGCAGCGAACGGGUGAGUAACGCGUGGGGAAUCUGCCUUUGAGCGGGGGACAACAUUUGGAAACGAAUGCUAAUACCGCAUAAAAACUUUAAACACAAGUUUUAAGUUUGAAAGAUGCAAUUGCAUCACUCAAAGAUGAUCCCGCGUUGUAUUAGCUAGUUGGUGAGGUAAAGGCUCACCAAGGCGAUGAUACAUAGCCGACCUGAGAGGGUGAUCGGCCACAUUGGGACUGAGACACGGCCCAAACUCCUACGGGAGGCAGCAGUAGGGAAUCUUCGGCAACGGACGAAAGUCUGACCGAGCAACGCCGCGUGAGUGAAGAAGGUUUUCGGAUCGUAAAACUCUGUUGGUAGAGAAGAACGUUGGUGAGAGUGGAAAGCUCAUCAAGUGACGGUAACUACCCAGAAAGGGACGGCUAACUACGUG
rnacentral:rRNA from 1 species